CGGACGGGUGAGUAAUGUCUGGGAAACUGCCUGAUGGGGGGGGAUAACUACUGGAAACGGUAGCUAAUACCGCAUAACGUCGCAAGACCAAAGAGGGGGACCUUCGGGCCUCUUGCCAUCGGAUGUGCCCAGAUGGGAUUAGCUAGUAGGUGGGGUAACGGCUCACCUAGGCGACGAUCCCUAGCUGGUCUGAGAGGAUGACCAGCCACACUGGAACUGAGACACGGUCCAG
rnacentral:rRNA from 1 species